GUUGAUGUCUGUGGUCCCAGCUGCUUGGGAGGCUGAGGCAGGAGAAUGGCGUGAACCCAGGAGGCGGAGCUUGCAGUGAGCCGAGACACCACUGCACUCCAGCCUGGGCAACAGAGCGAGACUCUGUCUAAAAAAAAAAAAAAAGAACUACCCAGAUGAGAGGUGAGGAGCCAAGCCAUUGAAAGCGGAACAAACCUUCUGGUUUUCCCAACUUCUGACACGACUUUCAACUUUAGUCAAUAUGGUAAUUGGCAUUCUCAGAAGAGAUCACGAAAGUGUCUUACUCUCUCUCAAAUUGAAAUUCACAAAGAUUAAAACUAAUUGAGAGGUGGCACAAUCAUAGCCAUGAACUCUGAUUUUCUUAAGUAAAAAACCUUUUUUUUUUUUUUUUGUUUUUGAGAUAGAGUCUGGCUCUGUCACCUAGGCUGGAGUGCAAUGGUGCAAUCUCAGCUCAGUGCAACCUCUGCUUCCUGGGUUCAAGCGAUUCUCCUGCCUUAGCCUCCCGAGUAGCUGGGAUUACAGGUGCCCACCACCACGCCCAGCUAAUUUUUGUAUUUCAGUAGAGACGAAGUUUCACCAUGUUGGCCAGGUGGGUCUCAAACUCCUGACCUCAGGUUAUCUGCACACCUCAGCCUCUUAAAGUUCUGGGAUUACAGGCGUGAGCCAUUGUGCCCGGCCCAUAAAAGAACUUUAUUAUAUUUCUAAAAUUCAAUCAUAUGGAAGAAUCUAUUGAGCAGGUUAGCCUUUGCUUAACUUUCCUCCUCUGUUACUCCAGCCUUAGCUGGGGUGUUUUGUAGAAUUUUCAGAGCAUGGGAGACAGACAACUAGAGCUUCCUCCUGCCCUUGGCCCAUGCUUUUAGGAGAGCAAAAGGCAAAAGAUUGAAACCACUGACUUUAGUUUCCUCAGGCCCUUUCUUUCUGAGGGUUAAAGAAGAAGGAAAUGUCUUCUGUGGCCAAGAAUUCAAGGACUUGUAGGAGAUAAGUGAAGGCUAUUACAGGGAUUUUGUCCUGGUUUGGUAGGUUUCUCUUGGAGAAAUACCACUACACCCUGGUCUAGAAAUGAGUUUUGAAGACUUGGGGAGUUAAAGGGCACUGAGUUUUACUCUCACUGUACCCUGAUUCCAGGUUUUACAUGGAGAAAUAACCUGAGGGACUUUAUUUCUAUCCAAUGCCCUGGUUUCCAUCCUGACCAGAGGAUGAUGACAUCCGCUGAUAGGCCAUGCUUCUGUCUUCUCUUAUGUGCCUCAUGCCAAGCCUCGAAAUAUACCUUCUGGACCAUCAUUUCCACAUCUACCUUGUGACUAGAAGUCCUAGUUAUGGUAUUUUGAAAUUUAUGAUCCAUAAUCCUUGCCAGAAAUCCUGCAGCGAACUAUGGCAUGGCAUCAUCCUAGUCAUUGAUUUCAAUCUUUUGCCUUUUGCUCCCCUAAAAUCUUGGGCCAAUUGCAGGAGGAAGCUCUAUUUGUCUCUCUUCCAUGCUCUGAAAAUUAUAUAAAAGCAUCCCAGCUAAGGCUGGAGUGAAGGGGUUGGGGAAAGUUAAGCAAAGGCUAACUUGACCAAUAGGCUCAAUAGAUUCAGUCUUGUUGGCCAGGCCCACUUGAAGGGUUUUUUGUUUCAUCUUGGAGAAGGACAGUGAGGUCAUGGUAUAAUUGUUAUGAGUAAAGUCAAGAACAGCUUCUAGGUAAAAGUAAUUAUGUACCCAAAAGGAGUUGAAGGGAAAAUCAAUUUAGGUUUACAUUAAACAUCCUUCAAGUUCUUAUCUUUAAAUGGAGUUUCAGUGUCUCCCAAAGGCUGGAUGAGUUUUACAGUUAUAACCACUGGAUUGUGAGACCAUAGGACAUUUGAACAAUCUUUUCUUCUACCCAUCUAGAAAAGCAUCUUUUUUAUAUACCAAAUUUUUACACAUAUAUCCACAUCUGUUUUUGAAAUCUAGAGCAGAGGUACUCAAAGUUUGGUUCAUGGACUAGUGCCAGUUCACAAAUUGUUAAUGUUUUAUAAUGAGAUAAGUACGGAAGUUGAGAGUAACCAUUUAGAAACUGUGUAGGAAUUUAAAAAGUAAUAUCUGACAAAUUUAAUAAUAAAAAUGGAGGCUUGUA
rnacentral:lncRNA from 1 species